CUGACGGAGCAACGCCGCGUGAGUGAAGAAGGCCUUCGGGUCGUAAAGCUCUGUUAUCAGGGAAGAACACCCGAGGGAGUAACUGCUCACGCCAUGACGGUAUCUAACCAGAAAGCCACGGCUAACUACGUGCCAGCAGCCGCGGUAAUAC
rnacentral:rRNA from 1 species